UACAGAGGUCCCAAGCGUUGUUCGGAUUCACUGGGCGUAAAGGGUGCGUAGGCGGUCGGGUAAGUCUGAUGUGAAAUCUCACAGCUUAACUGUGAAACUGCAUUGGAUACUAUUCGGCUUGGGAGUUGGAGGGGGGACUGGAAUUCUUGGUGUAGCAGUGAAAUGCGUAGAUAUCAAGAGGAACACCAGUGGCGAAGGCGAGUCCCUGGACAACUUCUGACGCUGAGGCACGAAAGCUAGGGGAGCAAACGGG
rnacentral:rRNA from 1 species